rnacentral:rRNA from 1 species
AUUGAACGCUGGCGGAAUGCUUUACACAUGCAAGUCGAACGGCAGCACGGGGCAACCUGGUGGCGAGUGGCGAACGGGUGAGUAAUACAUCGGAACGUGCCCAAUCGCGGGGGAUAACGUAGCGAAAGUUACGCUAAUACCGCACACGAUCUACGGAUGAAAGCGGGGGAUCGCAAGACCUCGCGCGAAUGGAGCGGCCGAUGUCAGAUUAGGUAGUUGGUGGGGUAAAGGCUCACCAAGCCGACGGGCUGUAGCUGGUCUGAGAGGACGACCAGCCACACUGGGACUGAGACACGGCCCAGACUCCUACGGGAGGCAGCAGUGGGGAAUUUUGGACAAUGGGCGCAAGCCUGAUCCAGCCAUUCCGCGUGCAGGAUGAAGGCCUUCGGGUUGUAAACUGCUUUUGUACGGAGCGAAAAGGCUCUCUCUAAUACAGGGGGCUCAUGACGGUACCGUAAGAAUAAGCACCGGCUAACUACGUGCCAGCCGCCGCCGUAACAC